UGUUGUAAAUCCGUUUUCCUUGUAACCUAGAAACUAGGUCGAGUUGGUCAUUACAUGACCAGUUCUUCUCUUAGCCAAAUCUCGUCGCCGCUCUCAGUUCCUUGCCAAGUAUGGUUCACGCCGGAAAGCUCAGGUCUGGUGGAGUACGUCUUCGGACCAGAGAGUUGUAAAAGGGUAAGACAAGUCAAAUUCGUAAGAGUUUAGUUUGUGUUUGAAUUCUCAGAUGAAAACUCUAUCAAGAACAAUAAGCUGAUGUCGGAGAAAAUGGAGAUGAAGGGAGUAAAAUCAUCGAGCAGUUGCGAGUUUCUGUGGAUUCAAAGGUCUGUAAACAAUGGGUUUGUGUUGGAUUUGCAUUUGGUAGUGAUGGUUUCGAUAAUUGAAGACUAGGGUUGAAUUCGAACUGGAAUUGGGGUUGAUGUUGCUCCAUUGAGUGGUCUGUGUUGUGAAUCGAAAGAGGAGAAGUUGCUGCUGUUGUACAAAGUUAACAAUACGAAGCAGUGGAUUCUGAUAUUGCUGUUGCCGAUCGAAUAUUAAUAAGAAUGCAGAUAAAGCAUGACUCAAGUGAAGAUAUUCAAGGGUUGAGUUCUCUGUGUGUAUUAACGUGAAUUAUUACAAAGUUAAACUGGCUGUGAGCUGAUGUUGAUUGAAUUAUGAACUGGUGCAGCUGCAGAUUUGUGUUGCUGUCAUCAAUGGGAGUUGGUAUUGCAGGAAAUGGAGAAAGGAAGGAAUUGAGCCAAGAAAGGGGUUGACAAGAGCUGGUGGCACAACAGCCAGGCCCGUCAGCUGCAGUUUCUGGUGGUUUUGGUUAAUAAGCUGGAUGGGUUGUUAAAGCUGAGAACUGAGAUGGUGCAGUUAAAAUGGCUCACUGUUGAUGUUGGUUGUGUAUGUGAGACUGCAGAUGAUUGUUGUGCAGUGGGUUUGGUGGACUCGUAUUGCAGGUUGUGUUUGAAUGAAUUGUGCUGCUGCAAUGGGCAAACUGGAACUGCAGGUGGAUGGCUGAGAAGUUGUGGGAUUGAAGCUACAGAAGACAUGAGUGAUACUGAAGCUAAAUGGAGUUGUAAGUUAGAUGCAGUAAACGGCGUUGGUCAAAGAAGUGGAUGCUAUUGAUAAUGUUGAUAUGCAGGGAAUGAAGAUGGCUGUGAGCUGAGAAGAUUGAGACAUAAAAAAGCUACAAAAUAAGAUGGUGUUCGUUGCAGCUUAUAUGCAGUUACAAGAGUCAGGUUGGUGAUUGUUGUGCUGGCGAGAAACUACAGCAGUUGCAGGUGUUGGGUCUGGUGAUGCAAUGUGUUGGUUUGCAGCUGAAAUUACAAGGAAUGGAAAACUGGAAUUGCAGCAGGUGAAGCUAUGGAGAUUGCAGUCAAGCUGAACUGGUGGUGCUGUUUAGACUGGGAAUGGAACAUUGGAGUUGCAGCUACUGUUGGGUUUGAUUUACAGGUUAUAAUGCAGCUGCAAAGUGAGUCAGAGAGAGAAUGAAGCUGCAAUGAAAAAGAAUGGAGGUGAAAUUGCAGGUAUGAGAUUGCAGGGAGUGUGUCCUGUGAUUGGUAAAAUGAAGGAAUGCAUAUGUGCAGUGAAACUAUGGCUCGAGUUACAGCUGUGGAGAUGGUGAGCAGUAAUAUGAAUGGUUGUCGAAAAAGAAUUGCAAGAGAUGAUGAUGAUGUUAUGGUAUCAAGGGUUCGCGUAUGGAACUUGAAUUGUUUAUAAGUACAGGUGGUAUAGAAAUUGGUACUAUUCUUGAGAUUGAAUCGGUAAUGGAUGGAGUCAGGUGAUGAAUGAGCAGGUGCAGCUACAGAUGUAGGCAAUUGUAGGUUUUCUGGUGGGUCUUUAGAGUGGCAGGAAAUACUCAGUGGAGGAAUUGACAGUAUGGGUUGUGUUUGAUUAGCUUGUCAGUUCCACAAGACUGACAAGCCAAACAUCUAAUGAGCUAAUGGGCUUGUGGGUUGUUCUGAAGAAGAAGUGAGUUUAUAGGCUGGAGUGCUUGUCACAUGACCCAGUUGGUAUUUUGCUAUGUCAAAACCGUGAACUAGACUUGGAAAUUGGGUGGAUAGGAAAAGAUAUAAAAGCAACAUCUCUCCUAUAUCAUCUUUCUUUUUCUCUACUUUUGGCCUAGGGUUUAGAACAUGAUGGCUUUUCUAUUCCUUCUUGUUAUGAACUCCGUUAUUAUAUUUAGUAAUUUUCUUUUGGUUAAGGAAUAAGUUGGAAUUCUAAACAUGAUUUUUAUGUAAUGAAUUAGUUUUGUCUCCAUAUUAUCGUUUAUGAUUCACCAUUAAUAUUGUUACAUGAUUUGAAUGUUUGUUUGGUUGAGUCUAGAAUCAAUCGAGUUUGUUUUCAUCUCUAUUGCUAAAUUAGGAUUUAUUAUACGCAAAUUUGUAUUUGGUAGUGAUGGUUUCGAUAAUUGAAGACUAGGGUUGAAUUCGAACUGGAAUUGGGGUUGAUGUUGCUCCAUUGAGUGGUCUGUGUUGUGAAUCGAAAGAGGAGAAGUUGCUGCUGUUGUACAAAGUUAACAAUACGAAGCAGUGGAUUCUGAUAUUGCUGUUGCCGAUCGAAGAUUAGUAAGAAUGCAAGAUAAAGCAUGACUCAAGUGAAGAUAUUCAAGGCUGCAGAUUUGUGUUGCUGUCAUCAAUGAGAGUUGGUAUUGCAGGAAAUGGAGAAAGGAAGGAAUUGAUCCAAGAAAGGAGUUGACAAGAGCUGGUGGCACAACAGCCAGGCCCGUCACCUGCAGUUUCUGGUGGUUUUGGUUAAUAAGUUGGAUGGGUUGUUAAAGCUGAGAACUGAGAUGGUGCAGUUAAAAUGGCUCACUGUUGAUGUUUUUUUUGGUUGUGUAUGUGAGAUUGCAGAUGGGAAUGAUUGUUGUGCAGUGGGUAUGGUGGACUGGUAUUGCAGGUUGUGUUUGAAUGAAUUGUGCUGCUGCAAUGGGCAAACUGGAACUGCAGGUGAUGGCUGAGAAGUUGUGGGAUUGAAGCUACAGAAGACAUGAGUGAUACUGAAGCUAAAUGGAGUUGUAAGUGAGCUGCAGUAAAUGGUGUUGGUCAAAGAAGUGGAUGCUAUUGAUAAUGUUGAUAUGCAGGGACUGAAGAUGGCCGUGAGCUGAGAAGAUUGAGACAUGAAAGAGCUACAAAAUAAGAUGGUGUUCGUUACAGCUUAGAUGCAGUUACAAGAGUCAGGUUGGUGAUUGUUGUGUUGGCGAGAAACUACAGCAGUUGCAUGUGUUGGGUCUGGUGAUGCAAUGUGUUGGUUUGCAGCUGAAAUUACAAGAAAUGGAAAACUGGAAUUGCAGCAGGUGAAGCUAUGGAGAUUGCAGUCAAGCUGAACUGGUGGUGCUGUUUAGACUGGAAUGGAACAUUGGAGUUGCAGCUACUGUUGGGUUUGAUUUCCAGGUUAUAAUGCAGCUGCAAAGUGAGUCAGAGAGAGAAUGAAGCUGCAAUGAAAAAGAAUGGAGGUGAAAUUGCAGGUAUGAGAUUGCAGGGAGUGUGGCCUGUGAUUGGUAAAAUGAAGGAAUGCUUAUGUGCAGUGAAACUAUGGCUCGAGUUACAACUGUGGAGAUGGUGAGCAGUAAUAUGAAUGGUUGUCGAAAAAGAAUUGCAAGAGAUGAUGAUGAUGUUAUGGUAUCAAGGGUUCGCGUAUGGAACUUGAAUUGUUUAUAAGUACAGGUGGUAUAGAAAUUGGUACUAUUCUUGAGAUUGAAUCGGUAAUGGAUGGAGUCAGGUGAUGAAUGAGCAGGUGCAGCUACAGAUGUAGGCAAUUGUAGGUUUUCUGGUGGGUCUUUAGAGUGGCAGGAAAUACUCAGUGGAGGAAUUGACAGUAUGGGUUGUGUUUGAUUAGCUUGUCAGUUCCACAAGACUGACAAGCCAAACAUCUAAUGAGCUAAUGGGCUUGUGGGUUGUUCUGAAGAAGAAGUGAGUUUAUAGGCUGGAGUGCUUGUCACAUGACCCAGUUGGUAUUUUGCUAUGUCAAAACCGUGAACUAGACUUGGAAAUUGGGUGGAUAGGAAAAGAUAUAAAAGCAACAUCUCUCCUAUAUCAUCUUUCUUUUUCUCUACUUUUGGCCUAGGGUUUAGAACAUGAUGGCUUUUCUAUUCCUUCUUGUUAUGAACUCCGUUAUUAUAUUUAGUAAUUUUCUUUUGGUUAAGGAAUAAGUUGGAAUUCUAAACAUGAUUUUUAUGUAAUGAAUUAGUUUUGUCUCCAUAUUAUCGUUUAUGAUUCACCAUUAAUAUUGUUACAUGAUUUGAAUGUUUGUUUGGUUGAGUCUAGAAUCAAUCGAGUUUGUUUUCAUCUCUAUUGCUAAAUUAGGAUUUAUUAUACGCAAAUUUGUAUUUGGUAGUGAUGGUUUCGAUAAUUGAAGACUAGGGUUGAAUUCGAACUGGAAUUGGGGUUGAUGUUGCUCCAUUGAGUGGUCUGUGUUGUGAAUCGAAAGAGGAGAAGUUGCUGCUGUUGUACAAAGUUAACAAUACGAAGCAGUGGAUUCUGAUAUUGCUGUUGCCGAUCGAAGAUUAGUAAGAAUGCAAGAUAAAGCAUGACUCAAGUGAAGAUAUUCAAGGGUUGAGUUUUCUGUGUGUAUUAGUGUGAAUUAUUACAAAGUUAAACUGGCUGUGAGCUGAUGUUGAUUGAAUUAUGAACUGGUGCAGCUGCAGAUUUGUGUUGCUGUCAUCAAUGAGAGUUGGUAUUGCAGGAAAUGGAGAAAGGAAGGAAUUGAUCCAAGAAAGGAGUUGACAAGAGCUGGUGGCACAACAGCCAGGCCCGUCACCUGCAGUUUCUGGUGGUUUUGGUUAAUAAGUUGGAUGGGUUGUUAAAGCUGAGAACUGAGAUGGUGCAGUUAAAAUGGCUCACUGUUGAUGUUUUUUUUGGUUGUGUAUGUGAGAUUGCAGAUGGGAAUGAUUGUUGUGCAGUGGGUAUGGUGGACUGGUAUUGCAGGUUGUGUUUGAAUGAAUUGUGCUGCUGCAAUGGGCAAACUGGAACUGCAGGUGAUGGCUGAGAAGUUGUGGGAUUGAAGCUACAGAAGACAUGAGUGAUACUGAAGCUAAAUGGAGUUGUAAGUGAGCUGCAGUAAAUGGUGUUGGUCAAAGAAGUGGAUGCUAUUGAUAAUGUUGAUAUGCAGGGACUGAAGAUGGCCGUGAGCUGAGAAGAUUGAGACAUGAAAGAGCUACAAAAUAAGAUGGUGUUCGUUACAGCUUAGAUGCAGUUACAAGAGUCAGGUUGGUGAUUGUUGUGUUGGCGAGAAACUACAGCAGUUGCAUGUGUUGGGUCUGGUGAUGCAAUGUGUUGGUUUGCAGCUGAAAUUACAAGAAAUGGAAAACUGGAAUUGCAGCAGGUGAAGCUAUGGAGAUUGCAGUCAAGCUGAACUGGUGGUGCUGUUUAGACUGGAAUGGAACAUUGGAGUUGCAGCUACUGUUGGGUUUGAUUUCCAGGUUAUAAUGCAGCUGCAAAGUGAGUCAGAGAGAGAAUGAAGCUGCAAUGAAAAAGAAUGGAGGUGAAAUUGCAGGUAUGAGAUUGCAGGGAGUGUGGCCUGUGAUUGG